UACGUAGGGUGCGAGCGUUGUCCGGAAUUAUUGGGCGUAAAGAGCUCGUAGGCGGUCUGUCGCGUCGAUCGUGAAAACUUGGGGCUUAACCCUGAGCUUGCGGUCGAUACGGGCAUGACUGGAGUUCGGCAGGGGAGACUGGAAUUCCUGGUGUAGCGGUGAAAUGCGCAGAUAUCAGGAGGAAUACCGAUGGCGAAGGCAGGUCUCUGGGCUGACACUGACGCUCAUGCACGAAAGCGUGGGGAGCAAACAGG
rnacentral:rRNA from 1 species